GAUGAACGCUGGCGGCGUGCCUAAUACAUGCAAGUCGAGCGAACAGACGAGGAGCUUGCUCCUCUGACGUUAGCGGCGGACGGGUGAGUAACACGUGGAUAACCUACCUAUAAGACUGGGAUAACUUCGGGAAACCGGAGCUAAUACCGGAUAAUAUAUUGAACCGCAUGGUUCAAUAGUUAAAGACGGUUUUGCUGUCACUUAUAGAUGGAUCCGCGCCGCAUUAGCUAGUUGGUAAGGUAACGGCUUACCAAGGCAACGAUGCGUAGCCGACCUGAGAGGGUGAUCGGCCACACUGGAACUGAGACACGGUCCAGACUCCUACGGGAGGCAGCAGUAGGGAAUCUUCCGCAAUGGGCGAAAGCCUGACGGAGCAACGCCGCGUGAGUGAUGAAGGUCUUCGGAUCGUAAAACUCUGUUAUUAGGGAAGAACAAAUGUGUAAGUAACUAUGCACGUCUUGACGGUACCUAAGCAGAAAGCCACGGCUAACUACGUGC
rnacentral:rRNA from 1 species